rnacentral:rRNA from 1 species
AGCUGGGCAGACCGGUGCCAGCCGCCGCGGUAAUACCGGGCAGCCCGAGUGAUGACCGCUAUUAUUGGGCCUAAAGCGUCCGUAGCUGGCCAGGCAAGUCCAUCGGGAAAUCCGCGUGCCCAACGCGCGGGCGUCCGGUGGAACCUGCUUGGCUUGGGACCGGAAGACCAGAGGGGUACGUCUGGGGUAGGAGUGAAAUCCCGUAAUCCUGGACGGACCACCGGUGGCGAAAGCGCCUCUGGAAGACGGAUCCGACGGUGAGGGACGAAAGCUCGGGUCACGAACCGGAUUAGAUACCCGGGUAGUCCGAGCUGUAAACGAUGUCUGCUAGGUGUGCCACAGGCUACGAGCCUGUGGUGUGCCGUAGGGAAGCCGUGAAGCAGACCGCCUGGGAAGUACGUCCGCAAGGAUGAAACUUAAAGGAAUUGGCGGGGGAGCACUACAACCGGAGGAGCCUGCGGUUUAAUUGGACUCAACGCCGGACAUCUCACCAGCAUCGACAGCAGGAGUGACAGUCAGGUUGAUGACCUUACUAGACCUGCUGAGAGGAGGUGCAUGGCCGCCGUCAGCUCGUACCGUGAGGCGUCCUGUUAAGUCAGGCAACGAGCGAGACCCGCACUCCUAAUUGCCAGCAACACCCUUGCGGUGGUUGGGUACAUUAGGAGGACUGCCAGUGCCAAACUGGAGGAAGGAACGGGCAACGGUAGGUCAGUAUGCCCCGAAUGUGCUGGGCGACACGCGGGCUACAAUGGCCGAGACAGUGGGACGCAACGCCGAAAGGCGACGCUAAUCUCCGAAACUCGGUCGUAGUUCGGAUUGCGGAUUGAAACUCAUCCGCAUGAAGCUGGAUUCGGUAGUAAUCGCGCCUCAGAAGGGCGCGGUGAAUACGUCCCUGCUCCUUGCACACACCGCCCGUCAAAGCACCCGAGUGAGGUCCGGAUGAGGCCUGGUCACCAGGUCGAAUCGCCGCCA